CAUAUGCUUCAUUGUAAGUUCAUUGCCAAGUGAUGAAAUUCUGAAACUAAUUGCCAGUAGGCUGAUUGUUCUCAGUUUUAAUCUAGGUAAGACCUCUCAUUCGCAGAAACUCUCGACCUUCUAGUAGAAGGUCCUGGGAGAAGCUCUGUUCUCUAGGCAUGAUUUUUGGGAAAUUUCUGCAGCCUUUCAGGAAACCUGGGACC
rnacentral:lncRNA from 1 species